rnacentral:rRNA from 1 species
GACGAACUGUGCGAACGUUAUUCGGAAUCACUGGGCUUACAGGGUGCGUAGGCGGCUUGUUAAGUAGGGUGUGAAAUCCCCCGGCCCAACCGGGGAAUGGCGCUCUAAACUAGCAGGCUUGAGUGAGCUAGGGGUGCAUGGAACUUCCAGUGGAGCGGUGAAAUGUGUUGAUAUUGGGAAGGAACACCGGAGGCGAAAGCGGUGCACUGGGGCUUAACGUG